CGCGGAGUGGUGCGAUGCGCGGGGAGGAGGUUCCCCGGGGUGAUGCACGGGACGAUGCUGGUGCAGCGGGAUGCGAUGCGCGGGGGAGGGAUGAGAUGCGCAGAGGGGAGUGCCGUUUUUGGGAGGAGUGCGGAGAGGGGAGCGUUUUGUUCAGGGGGCGCAGGGAUGGAACGGGGGCUGCGGUACCAAAGUCAGCGUGUGGACGGCGGCGCUAGAGAACGAGGAUGAGCAGGGAGUCUGUGCCCGGUGCCCCUCACCCUGGCCUUGGGCACCACUGAACAGAGUCUGCUCCAUCCUGACACCACCCUGCCGUACUGAUCAUCGAUCACAUCCCUCUCAGCUUCUCUUCUCCGCUCAGCAGCCCCAGCUCUCUCAGUGUCUCCUCAGCACAAAGAUGCUCCAGACAAGAAAGCAGAAGCUCUCUUCUUUCCCAGUGCCACCAGCAACACCUUCCUUUCCUUGCCCAUCCCCACCAGAGGAACGUUUCUGAUUUUUGCCAGGGCUUGUGUCUCAAGACCCCUCUUCAUGGGGAUACCACCCGUCCCAAGGCACCCACGGUGUGUCAGGCUCUGCUGCAGCCCCAUCUUGCAGCAAGGUCUCUUCAGAACCAGAAACCCCAUAACCUGGUCUUCCAAGCGCUGGGCACAGACCAUGGCUUGUCUGAACCCUCGGAGACAGACAUGUCCAGCCAUUGCCCCUGCUCCAGGACAGGCAAAGGACACCCUGUGGGUGGGUGUAAGAGCUGGUCUGAAGAACAAUAUUUGCCUGAACUUCACCAUCAGGGACCUGAAUUGGACAACAACUUGGAGAGAGGCCUGGGGAGAAGAAUUGUGUUGCACAGGUCUAUCCAACCCAGGGGUUCCCAGUAACAAUUGCUGCUGUGUGGACUUCACCUGCUGCCUCAGACAAACUUGCCUCCACCUCCUAAAAGAAAUUGUGUUACAUGGUCUCUUCGACCUGGAGACAAUAGCUGCUGUCCAGAAGAUGGACUCUCACCUGCUGCUUCAGCCAAACGUGCCCCCCACCUCCUGUUACUAAGGCCAACAAAGAAAAGCAUGCCCAGAAGCUCACCGAGGGUCUUGAGGUCACCCAAGGGACCAGAAAGAGACCCCUGAAUAUGAGGACAUGCAGCUGCAGAUGGGUCUUGUCAAGCAAAGUGGUGAUUCUUUGAGCCUGUGCAGUUAAGCCUGGAUUGUGAAACAAAGGCAGAGAUUGGCCCCAAUGCAUGGAAGUGAGGGGGGAUGAAGAAGCAUAAAUGAUAGUUCCCGACUGAACAUUGUAGAGACCUCUCCACCAAAGGAUCCCAGAUCACGAUGGAGGACUCUUCUUACAGGACCCAAGACCAGACAGACACCUCUGGGACUCAUUUGGUGGUAGCUAAAUCAUCUUUCCCCCUUUUAUUUUUCUUUCCCCUUCUCUCUACUUUCUCUGUCACGUGCUGCUUUACAGCCAAAAUAAUAAAGUAACGCUGAUUCAAUUAUAA